UUACUACUUCCUCCGGCCGGUAUUAAGCGUCCCAACUUUGACUAUAUACACAUGUAUCUACACACUAAAACGUGUCAAGAUACAUGUGUAUUUAGACAAAUUUGUGACACUUGAUACCGGAUGGAGGGAGUACUUG
rfam:Brachypodium distachyon strain Bd21 chromosome 2, whole genome shotgun sequence.